CUCCAGACUCCUACGGGAGGCAGCAGUGAGGAAUAUUGGUCAAUGGGCGGGAGCCUGAACCAGCCAAGUCGCGUGAGGGAAGACGGUCCUAUGGAUUGUAAACCUCUUUUGUCGGGGAGCAAAGCGAACCACGUGUGGUUCAUUGAGAGUACCCGGAGAAAAAGCAUCGGCUAACUCCGUGCCAGCAGCCGCGGUAAUACGGAGGAUGCGAGCGUUAUCCGGAUUUAUUGGGUUUAAAGGGUGCGUAGGCGGGCUGUUAAGUCAGCGGUCAAAUGUCGGGGCUCAACCCCGGCCUGCCGUUGAAACUGGCGGCCUCGAGUGGGCGAGAAGUAUGCGGAAUGCGUGGUGUAGCGGUGAAAUGCAUAGAUAUCACGCAGAACUCCGAUUGCGAAGGCAGCAUACCGGCGCCCUACUGACGCUGAGGCACGAAAGCGUGGGUAUCGAACAGGAUUAGAUACCCGGGUAG
rnacentral:rRNA from 1 species